rnacentral:lncRNA from 1 species
AAAUGUGCCCGGAGACGAUCGUACAGGAAAGUCCUGCAGAGGACCCGUUACUCAGACGCCACGUCGGUGAGGAGGCCUGGCGUCAGCAAAACCCCGUCCUGCAUUCUCAGACUAACGCUUUAACGGGUUUGUUCUGAGGUUUGAUGUUAAUCUUUACUCGCAACCUCAUCUGGACUGGAUGUUUUCAUCGCCUUUGUUCUAAUUCCACAGAAGCCGAGGUGGUGAGCGAUUCCCGCCGUUCGGAGCGUCGUUUUGCUCCUGAAAGACAACGAAGGAAGAGUGAUUCCUGUGGGCAGCAGGACCAAAGUCCACAAAAACGUUCACCUGUUCAGCGCUGCCGCCUGCAGCUGCACACCGCCGCGUCAACAUCAGAACAGCAGAACCCGUCGGGACCAAUCCGUAAAGCAGAAGCUGGCGAGCAGAGGGUGUCCCAGGCACAGACCACAACAUUAGUGGGUGAGUGUUCAGCCGUCGGGUUUGAUUUCAGGUUGAGUAAUGAGCUCAUUUGCAAUCUUCUGCUGUCUGCUACAGGAGGGAAAGCUCGAGGCUCCAGUUAUUUGUCCCAUUACCUAAAAGCCCUUAAGCUGGAAACCAAACACGUCAUCGGUAGGUCUCCUUCACGGCUUCGCCUCCCCGCAGCUGGCUGUCACGUUGUGUAACGCGUCUGAGAUAAUGUGCUCACCAGGUAUGGCCUCUGUGUGGGAGUGUCGAGGAUUUGGAAAUUUGAAAACCUUUUUUCUGUGUGAAAGCUGUGAGAUGACGCUCUCUCGACAAGACAUCUGCCAGCACAUGGUCAGCCUCGACCACCAGCGGAAGUACCUGGUAGGUGUCGCAACCACGGACCCGAUCGCCGUGGAGCUCGGAAUGACGGGUUGGUGUGUUUUCCAGGGGAAGUACCACUCAGAGGUGAUGUACUGGCAGGAGUUGGAUGAUCUCCCCCAAAAGUUACAAAUGGACAUAUUUUUAAAUGACAUCAUCCAGCCAAUCGCAGAGCGGGAGUUAACUUUCAAGAUGGACGCUCAGUGUUUCGUGCUGAGUCCAGAGCUGCACAGACUUGUUUGGACUUCUCCGUUCGAUAAAGCUUUAAAGAUGGUGAAAGACCUGAAAGGCGAAGAGAACCCAAGUGUGCUCAGUCUACUGGCCUGUGCCUCCCGGCAGAACCGGCUGAGUGAGGACUCGCCGUCGGCUCAGACAGUUGAGAGGACCCAGUGGUGAGGAUGAAGGCCGUUAUUUAUAAUUAUUAUUUAAUCUGUGAUGUUUUUUUUGAUUCUGUGAAAGAAAGAAAAUAUUCAGAUGUGAACAAAUAUUUUACUUUAAAAACAAAUUUUAUGCAAAUGUUCUUGUAGCAAUACAUAUA